AGAGUUUGAUCAUGGCUCAGAUUGAACGCUGGCGGCAGGCCUAACACAUGCAAGUCGAACGGUAACAUUUCUAGCUUGCUAGAAGAUGACGAGUGGCGGACGGGUGAGUAAUGCUUGGGAACUUGCCUUUGCGAGGGGGAUAACAGUUGGAAACGACUGCUAAUACCGCAUAAUGUCUUCGGACCAAACGGGGCUUCGGCUCCGGCGCAAAGAGAGGCCCAAGUGAGAUUAGCUAGUUGGUAAGGUAACGGCUUACCAAGGCGACGAUCUCUAGCUGUUCUGAGAGGAAGAUCAGCCACACUGGGACUGAGACACGGCCCAGACUCCUACGGGAGGCAGCAGUGGGGAAUAUUGCACAAUGGGGGAAACCCUGAUGCAGCCAUGCCGCGUGUGUGAAGAAGGCCUUCGGGUUGUAAAGCACUUUCAGUUGUGAGGAAAAGUUAGUAGUUAAUACCUGCUAGCCGUGACGUUAACAACAGAAGAAGCACCGGCUAACUCCGUGCCAGCAGCCGCGGUAAUACGGAGGGUGCGAGCGUUAAUCGGAAUUACUGGGCGUAAAGCGCACGCAGGCGGUUUGUUAAGCUAGAUGUGAAAGCCCCGGGCUCAACCUGGGAUGGUCAUUUAGAACUGGCAGACUAGAGUCUUGGAGAGGGGAGUGGAAUUCCAGGUGUAGCGGUGAAAUGCGUAGAUAUCUGGAGGAACAUCAGUGGCGAAGGCGACUCCCUGGCCAAAGACUGACGCUCAUGUGCGAAAGUGUGGGUAGCGAACAGGAUUAGAUA
rnacentral:rRNA from 1 species